CAGCCGCCGCGGUAAUACGGAGGGUGCAAGCGUUAAUCGGAAUUACUGGGCGUAAAGCGUGCGCAGGCGGUUAUAUAAGACAGAUGUGAAAUCCCCGGGCUCAACCUGGGAACUGCAUUUGUGACUGUAUAGCUAGAGUACGGCAGAGGGGGAUGGAAUUCCGCGUGUAGCAGUGAAAUGCGUAGAUAUGCGGAGGAACACCGAUGGCGAAGGCAAUCCCCUGGGCCUGUACUGACGCUCAUGCACGAAAGCGUGGGGAGCAAACAGGAUUAGAUACCCGGGUAGUCCCUGUCUCUUAUAC
rnacentral:rRNA from 1 species